ACGAACGCUGGCGGCGUGGAUAAGACAUGCAAGUCGAACGGGAGAAUUGCUAGCUUGCUAAUAAUUCUCUAGUGGCGCACGGGUGAGUAACACGUGAGUAACCUGCCUCUUAGUGGGGGAUAGCCCUGGGAAACCGGGAUUAAUACCGCAUACGAUUGAAAGAUCAAAGCAGCAAUGCGCUAGGAGAUGGGCUCGCGGCCUAUUAGUUAGUUGGUGAGGUAACGGCUCACCAAGGCGAUGACGGGUAGCCGGUCUGAGAGGAUGUCCGGCCACACUGGAACUGAGACACGGUCCAGACACCUACGGGUGGCAGCAGUCGAGAAUCAUUCACAAUGGGGGCAACCCUGAUGGUGCGACGCCGCGUGGGGGAAUGAAGGUCUUCGGAUUGUAAACCCCUGUCAUGUGGGAGCAAAUUAAAAAGAUAGUACCACAAGAGGAAGAGACGGCUAACUCUGUGCCAGCAGCCGCGGUAAUACAGAGGUCUCAAGCGUUGUUCGGAAUCACUGGGCGUAAAGCGUGCGUAGGCUGUUUCGUAAGUCGUGUGUGAAAGGCAGGGGCUCAACCCCUGGAUUGCACAUGAUACUGCGAGACUAGAGUAAUGGAGGGGGAACCGGAAUUCUCGGUGUAGCAGUGAAAUGCGUAGAUAUCGAGAGGAACACUCGUGGCGAAGGCGGGUUCCUGGACAUUAACUGACGCUGAGGCACGAAGGCCAGGGGAGCGAAAGGGAUUAGAUACCCCUGUAGUCCUGGCAGUAAACGGUGCACGCUUGGUGUGCGGGGAAUCGACCCCCUGCGUGCCGGAGCUAACGCGUUAAGCGUGCCGCCUGGGGAGUACGGUCGCAAGAUUAAAACUCAAAGAAAUUGACGGGGACCCGCACAAGCGGUGGAGUAUGUGGCUUAAUUCGAUGCAACGCGAAGAACCUUACCUGGGCUUGACAUGUAAUGAACAACAUGUGAAAGCAUGCGACUCUUCGGAGGCGUUACACAGGUGCUGCAUGGCCGUCGUCAGCUCGUGUCGUGAGAUGUUUGGUUAAGUCCAGCAACGAGCGCAACCCCUGUUGCCAGUUACCAGCACGUCAAGGUGGGGACUCUGGCGAGACUGCCCAGAUCAACUGGGAGGAAGGUGGGGACGACGUCAGGUCAGUAUGGCCCUUAUGCCCAGGGCUGCACACGUACUACAAUGCCCAGUACAGAGGGGGCCGAAGCCGCGAGGCGGAGGAAAUCUUGAAAACUGGGCCCAGUUCGGACUGUAGGCUGCAACCCGCCUACACGAAGCCGGAAUCGCUAGUAAUGGCGCAUCAGCUACGGCGCCGUGAAUACGUUCCCGGGUCUUGUACACACCGCCCGUCACAUCAUGGAAGCCGGUCGCACCCGAAGUAUCUGAAGCCAACCGCAAGGAGGCAGGGUCCUAAGGUGAGACUGGUAACUGGGAUG
rnacentral:rRNA from 1 species